rnacentral:rRNA from 1 species
GAAAUUCCUUGUCGGGUGAGUUCCGACCUGCACGAAUGGUGUAACCAUGGCCACGCUGUCUCUACCCGAGACUCAGUGAAAUUGAAAUCGCAGUGAAGAUGCUGUGUACCCGCACCUAGACGGAAAGACCCCGUGAACCUUUACUACAGCUUGGCACUGAACAUUGAACCUACUUGUGUAGGAUAGGUGGGAGGCUUCGAAGCAUAGACGCUAGUUUAUGUGGAGCCGUCCUUGAAAUACCACCCUGGUAUGUUUGAUGUUCUAACGUUGGCCCCUUAUCGGGGUUGCGGACAGUGUCUGGUGGGUAGUUUGACGGGG